rnacentral:rRNA from 1 species
UGUUCCUACGGGAGGCAGCAGUGAGGAAUAUUGGUCAAUGGUCGGGAGACUGAACCAGCCAAGCCGCGUGAGGGAUGACGGUACAGAGUAUCGUAAACCUCUUUUGUCAGGGAACAAAGGCGGGGACGUGUCCCCGGAUGAGUGUACCUGAAGAAAAAGCAUCGGCUAACUCCGUGCCAGCAGCCGCGGUAAUACGGAGGAUGCGAGCGUUAUCCGGAUUUAUUGGGUUUAAAGGGUGCGCAGGCGGAUUUUUAAGUCAGCGGUCAAAUCGUGGGGCUCAACCCCAUUCAGCCGUCGAAACUGGG